CAGUAGCCACGGGAAUACGGAGGGAGCUAGCGUUGUUCGGAAUUACUGGGCGUAAAGCGCGCGUAGGCGGUUACUCAAGUCAGAGGUGAAAGCCCGGGGCUCAACCCCGGAACUGCCUUUGAAACUAGGUGACUAGAAUCUUGGAGAGGUCAGUGGAAUUCCGAGUGUAGAGGUGAAAUUCGUAGAUAUUCGGAAGAACACCAGUGGCGAAGGCGACUGACUGGACAAGUAUUGACGCUGAGGUGCGAAAGCGUGGGGAGCAAACAGGAUUAGAUACCCCGGUAGUCCCUGUCUCUUAUAC
rnacentral:rRNA from 1 species